UUGUUAACAGGAAGAAGUCAGAAUAUCACUAUUUGUAGAUGAAAUGAUAGAAUACUUAAGUGACCCCAAAAGUUCUACCAGAGAAGUCCUACAGAUAAUAAACAACUUCAGCAAAGUGGUCAGAUAUAAAAUUAACUCAAACAAAUCAAUAGUCUUCCUAUACCCAAAGUAUAAACACUCUGAGAAAGAAAUUAGGGAAAGGACAUCCUUUAUAAUGGUCAUAAAAAGGUAUAAAAUAUCUUGGUAGGACUCUAACUGAACAGGAGAAAGAUAUGUACAAAAAGAACUUCAAGUCUCUGAAGAAAGAGAUAAAAGAAGACCUCAGAAGACAGAAAGAUCUCCCAUGCUCAUGGAUUAGAAGGAUUAAUAUAGCAAAAAUGGCCAUCUUGCCAAAAGCAAUCUACUGAUUCAAUGCACUCCCCAUCAAAAUUCCAACUUAAUUCUUUAUAGAGUUAGAAAGAAAAAUACUCAAAUUCAUUUGCAAUAACAAAAAACUCAGGAUCUUAGGCACAGAGUUGGCAGACAGACCACAGUAACCAGAGAACUCUCUGUUCUUCAGGCACCCUAGCAUAUCCAGGAUCUUGAAAUCACUGGUGAGUGGACCACAACAUCUGUUCCAAAACAAGAGGAAGGGGCCUGUGCCAGCAGGAAAUCCACCCAACCAGCAGCUGGGGUUCAUUUAGUCAGCUCCAGCCAGGAGGCAGAUCUGAGCACCAGUCUUCUGUGCAUCUUUUCUGCAAGAGGAGAACUUGCCUGCAGAGAGCAUUCUGAUCCCUGAGACUCAAGAGAGAGUUGGACUCACAGGAAUGAUGACAAAAGCUAACAGAAUCGCAGGAGGAACAACCUCCAGCCAGAGACAGCUAGA
rnacentral:lncRNA from 1 species